rnacentral:rRNA from 1 species
CCCUUAGAUGUUCUGGGCUGCACGCGCGCUACACUGACGUACGCAACGAGUGUCCUUUACCGAGAGGUAUGGGUAAUCAUUUGAGCGUACGUCGUGAUGGGGAUAGAAUAUUGUAAUUAUUACUCUUCAACGAGGAAUUCCUAGUAAGCGCAAGUCAGCAGCUUGCGCUGAUUACGUCCCUGCCCUUUGUACACACCGCCCGUCGCUCCUACCGAUGGGUGAUCCGGUGAAUGAUUCGGACUCGGUUGCCUCUAGCCACUAGUGGCGCUCGAGAAAGUUUUGUGAACCUUAUCACUUGGAGGAAGGAGAAGUCGUAACA